rnacentral:rRNA from 1 species
AGAGUUUGAUCAUGGCUCAGGAUGAACGCUAGCUACAGGCUUAACACAUGCAAGUCGAGGGGCAGCAUGUUGGUUGCUUGCAACCAACGAUGGCGACCGGCGCACGGGUGAGUAACGCGUAUCCAACCUACCCUUGUCCAUCGGGUAACCCGUCGAAAGGCGGCCUAACACGAUAUGCGGUUCACAGCAGGCAUCUAACGUGAACGAAAUGUGAAGGAGAAGGAUGGGGAUGCGUCUGAUUAGCUUGUUGGCGGGGUAACGCCACAAGGCUACGAUCAGUAGGGGUUCUGAGAGGAAGGUCCCCCANAUUGGAACUGAGACACGGUCCAAACUCCUACGGGAGCA